UUUAAAGAAAUCAAUUAGUACCCUUGCUUUAAACAAGACCAUUUCUUAAAAAUAAAUAAAAAUAAAUAAAAAAUAAUAAACAAGAGCAUUUCUUGACCACCACAGAAUAUUUAUUUCUCAAAGUGUAAACCAUCUAGUGAGAAUAAGACUCUCGUGGUUAUGCGGAUGGUGAUGCCUCCAGAGCAGAGUGGUGCGUGCUCCUCACGUGGCUGUUGUAAUGACACCUGAAAUGGGCAGAGCAGAGAAGCUGACCCAUCCUUGUCAACAAGCCAGCACAUCAAUCAGAUUCUAACCCUAAACCACGAGGAUUUUCACUUCCUCUGGGCUCCAAUCUUCUCCUCUUCGGAACAGUGUAGGACGCCUCUCUUAAAACACGAAGUGACUCCCUCAUCAGCAUCACUGUCACAGAGUUUUGGAGGGUGACCUAAUUUCACAAAGAAUCGUAGCAUCCUCGCUGUUACUUGCACUCUGAGCAUAUGAAAUUUGGCCCCAUGCUAAUGUAUUCCAAUUCACAAACAAAGGAGCCUGCCCAUGCCGCAUGGGCUGCUGAAGCUUGCAAGCAGUUAAAGCCCACGGUGAGCUCAGGUCAAAGGGAAUGGGGGGUGAGGGUCCCUCUAAAUACCUCUGUGCAGUAACAGCAUGGACGUGACUGGUGGUUCCAAAGGCUCUUUGUGUGUCUGUCCACAGCUGGAGGGGGAGCGGCAUGCCAUCAUCGACAGGGACACCCGCCUGCUGCUGGAGAAGUUGUCCUGCAUCCUGAGGACCAGGGGACAGACUGAGAGCAGAAACAACUGCACCCAGAAGAGUGGUCGUUUGGAAAUGCAGAAACGUGCCUCACAUCCAUUCUGUGGCUCCCCAUUGCCUUCAAGGGGGAAAAGAGAACAGGAACUCCACAGAGUGCAAGGAGAAAACAAAACCGUUCUGGAAAGGACCAGAAACCCAGAGCCAUCAUCACACAGAGCCCAG
rnacentral:lncRNA from 1 species